rnacentral:rRNA from 1 species
CACGUAGGGUGCGAGCGUUGUCCGGAAUUAUUGGGCGUAAAGAGCUCGUAGGCGGUGUGUCGCGUCGGCCGUGAAAACCUGCAGCUCAACUGUGGGCUUGCGGUCGAUACGGGCAUCACUGGAGUUCGGCAGGGGAGACUGGAAUUCCUGGUGUAGCGGUGAAAUGCGCAGAUAUCAGGAGGAACACCGGUGGCGAAGGCGGGUCUCUGGGCAACAACUGACGCUGAGGAACGAAAGCCAGGGUAGCAAACGGG